rnacentral:ncRNA from 1 species
UUUGAAAAAAGGCAAACCUAUUGAAAAGUAGGGACGCAAAGCUAAGGGCCUAAGGUAACUUCGUUUACUAUGGCAGCCGGUUGCCAAU